rnacentral:rRNA from 1 species
AUGCAGCUUUCCAUACUGCGACUGACACUGAAGCACGAAGGCGUGGGUAUCAAACAGGAUUAGAUACCCUGGUAGUCCACGCAGUAAACGAUGAUUACUAGGAGUUUGCGAUAUACCGUCAAGCUUCCACAGCGAAAGCGUUAAGUAAUCCACCUGGGGAGUACGCCGGCAACGGUGAAACUCAAAGGAAUUGACGGGGGCCCGCACAAGCGGAGGAACAUGUGGUUUAAUUCGAUGAUACGCGAGGAACCUUACCCGGGAUUGAAAUGUAGAUGACGGAUGGUGAAAACCGUCUUCCCUUCGGGGCGUCUAUGUAGGUGCUGCAUGGUUGUCGUCAGCUCGUGCCGUGAGGUGUCGGCUUAAGUGCCAUAACGAGCGCAACCCACAUCGGUAUUGCCUAACAG